rnacentral:rRNA from 1 species
AUUGGGCGUAAGAGCUCGUAGGCGGUUUGUCGCGUCUGCUGUGAAAGACCGGGGCUCAACUCCGGUUCUGCAGUGGGUACGGGCAGACUAGAGUGCAGUAGGGGAGAUUGGAAUUCCUGGUGUAGCGGUGAAAUGCGCAGAUAUCAGGAGGAACACCGAUGGCGAAGGCAGGUCUCUGGGCUGUAACUGACGCUGAGGAGCGAAAGCAUGGGGAGCGAACAGGAUUAGAUACCCUGGUAGUCCAUGCCGUAAACGUUGGGCACUAGGUGUGGGGGACAUUCCACGUUUUCCGCGCCGUAGCUAACGCAUUAAGUGCCCCGCCUGGGGAGUACGGCCGCAAGGCUAAAACUCAAAGGAAUUGACGGGGGCCCGCACAAGCGGCGGAGCAUGCGGAUUAAUUCGAUGCAACGCGAAGAACCUUACCAAGGCUUGACAUGAACCGGAAAGACCUGGAAACAGGUGCCCCGCUUGCGGUCGGUUUACAGGUGGUGCAUGGUUGUCGUCAGCUCGUGUCGUGAGAUGUUGGGUUAAGUCCCGCAACGAGCGCAACCCUCGUUCUAUGUUGCCAGCGCGUUAUGGCGGGGACUCAUAGGAGACUGCCGGGGUCAACUCGGAGGAAGGUGGGGACGACGUCAAAUCAUCAUGCCCCUUAUGUCUUGGGCUUCACGCAUGCUACAAUGGCCGGUACAAAGGGUUGCGAUACUGUGAGGUGGAGCUAAUCCCAAAAAGCCGGUCUCAGUUCGGAUUGGGGUCUGCAACUCGACCCCAUGAAGUCGGAGUCGCUAGUAAUCGCAGAUCAGCAACGCUGCGGUGAAUACGUUCCCGGGUCUUGUACACACCGCCCGUCAAGUCACGAAAGUUGGUAACACCCGAAGCCGGUGGGCCUAACCCUUGUGGGGGGAGCCGUCGAAGGUG